rnacentral:rRNA from 1 species
UGGGGAAUAUUGCACAAUGGGCGAAAGCCUGAUGCAGCAACGCCGCGUGAGUGAUGAAGGUCUUCGGAUUGUAAAGCUCUGUCUUUUGGGACGAUAAUGACGGUACCAAAGGAGGAAGCCACGGCUAACUACGUGCCAGCAGCCGCGGUAAUACGUAGGUGGCGAGCGUUGUCCGGAUUUACUGGGCGUAAAGGGUGCGUAGGCGGAUGUUUAAGUGAGAUGUGAAAUACCCGGGCUCAACUUGGGUGCUGCAUUUCAAACUGGAUAUCUAGAGUGCAGGAGAGGAGAAUGGAAUUCCUAGUGUAGCGGUGAAAUGCGUAGAGAUUAGGAAGAACACCAGUGGCGAAGGCGAUUCUCUGGACUGUAACUGACGCUGAGGCACGAAAGCGUGGGUAGCAAACAGGAUUAGAUACCCUGGUAGUCCACGCCGUAAACGAUGAGUACUAGGUGUAGGAGGUAUCGACCCCUUCUGUGCCGCAGUA